rnacentral:rRNA from 1 species
UACGUAGGGGGCAAGCGUUGUCCGGAUUUAUUGGGCGUAAAGAGCGUGUAGGCGGCUUUACAGGUCCGUUGUGAAAACUCGAGGCUCAACCUCGAGACGCCGGUGGAAACUGUAAAGCUAGAGUCCGGAAGAGGAGAGUGGAAUUCCUGGUGUAGCGGUGAAAUGCGCAGAUAUCAGGAAGAACACCAGUGGCGAAGGCGGCUCUCUGGGACGGUACUGACGCUGAGACGCGAAAGCGUGGGGAGCGAACAGG